UACGAAGGGGGCUAGCGUUGCUCGGAAUCACUGGGCGUAAAGGGCGCGUAGGCGGAUCUUUAAGUCAGAGGUGAAAGCCCAGGGCUCAACCUUGGAAUUGCCUUUGAUACUGGAGAUCUUGAGACCGGAAGAGGUUAGUGGAACUGCGAGUGUAGAGGUGAAAUUCGUAGAUAUUCGCAAGGACACCAGUGGCGAAGGCGGCUAACUGGUCCGGUUCUGACGCUGAGGCGCGAAAGCGUGGGGAGCAAACAGG
rnacentral:rRNA from 1 species